rfam:Myotis lucifugus cont2.1530, whole genome shotgun sequence.
GCCCUGUAGCUCAGUUGGUUAGAGCAUUGCUCUGAUAUCCCAAGGUUGCAGGUUCAAUCCCUAGUCAGGGC